AGUGAACGCUGGCGGUAGGCCUAACACAUGCAAGUCGAACGGCAGCACAGUAAGAGCUUGCUCUUACGGGUGGCGAGUGGCGGACGGGUGAGGAAUACAUCGGAAUCUACUUUUUCGUGGGGGAUAACGUAGGGAAACUUACGCUAAUACCGCAUACGACCUACGGGUGAAAGCAGGGGAUCUUCGGACCUUGCGCGAUUGUAUGAGCCGAUGUCGGAUUAGCUAGUUGGCGGGGUACAGGCCCACCAAGGCGACGAUCCGUAGCUGGUCUGAGAGGAUGAUCAGCCACACUGGAACUGAGACACGGUCCAGACUCCUACGGGAGGCAGCAGUGGGGAAUAUUGGACAAUGGGCGCAAGCCUGAUCCAGCCAUACCGCGUGGGUGAAGAAGGUCUUCGGGUUGUAAAGCCCUUUUGUUGGGAAAGAAAAGCAGCAGGUUAAUACCCCGCUGUUCUGACGGUACCAAAAGGAUAAGCACCGGCUAACUUCGUG
rnacentral:rRNA from 1 species